rnacentral:lncRNA from 1 species
UCGUUACUAAUUAUUCUCAAUGACUCUUCUUCAUUAUUUCAUUCUUCAGGUCACUCAUAUAUGAGUUCGGCUUAUUUGUAAUCCUUACCACAACAAACAAAAUAUCAAAAAAGCAUGUGGUUAAUGAAACACACGCGCAUGAUAGUUUUGUCAUUAAUACAUAAUAUAUAGACAACAUCGUAACCAUCAACUUGUUAUGUGCAUAGACUUAAUAUUUUUCCUGCUUUGUACAUGUCCACUAAUUUUCCAUACCUAAAAUUUUUUCAACUCUAACUAAUUGAAAACAUGGGUUAAGAUUACUCAAUCAAUUCUCAUUCACUUUUACCGUGAAUUUUAAUGUCUUAACUCUUUAAUUUGUUUUCUCUCUGCUUUUUUUCGCUCCCACAUAUCUCCUCGUCAAACACCAUAUAUCUUUUCAAAUUGCAGAAUAUAUCACUUUUUCUCCUUUUUUUUUUAUUUUUCAUCUUUGGUUCAUUAUGUUUCUUCGCUUAUCUUUCCUUCUUCUCUUUCUCUCUUUCUCUUUUAUCUAACUCAGAUCUGUGAAUUUUUUAAAACAACACUAUCCUUUUAACACUUUGCAUAAUUACUGGGCUGCAAUUCUUUCCCCACCAUUUCUGAAAAAACUCUGACCACAUGAAUACUAAUCUUGACCACAAGAACACUGGCUCUAACUUUGACCAUAUGAACAUUAACUCUGAUUCUGAUCAUAUGACACUGACCCUAACCAUCCUUUCUCUCGAUGAAAACCAUGACCAUGUGGCUUCCGACCGUAACC